rnacentral:rRNA from 1 species
UACGGAGGAUGCGAGCGUUAUCCGGAUUUAUUGGGUUUAAAGGGUGCGUAGGCGGAUCGUUAAGUCAGUGGUCAAAUUGAGGGGCUCAACCCCUUCCCGCCAUUGAAACUGGCGAUCUUGAGUGGAAGAGAAGUAUGCGGAAUGCGUGGUGUAGCGGUGAAAUGCAUAGAUGUCACGCAGAACCCCGAUUGCGAAGGCAGCAUGCCGGCUUCCGACUGACGCUGAGGCACGAAAGCGUGGGGAUCGAACAGG